GACGAACGCUGGCGGCGUGCUUAACACAUGCAAGUCGAACGGAAAGGCCCUGCUUUUGUGGGGUGCUCGAGUGGCGAACGGGUGAGUAACACGUGAGUAACCUGCCCUUGACUUUGGGAUAACUUCAGGAAACUGGGGCUAAUACCGGAUAGGAGCUCCUGCUGCAUGGUGGGGGUUGGAAAGUUUCGGCGGUUAGGGAUGGACUCGCGGCUUAUCAGCUUGUUGGUGGGGUAGUGGCUUACCAAGGCUUUGACGGGUAGCCGGCCUGAGAGGGUGACCGGCCACAUUGGGACUGAGAUACGGCCCAGACUCCUACGGGAGGCAGCAGUGGGGAAUAUUGCACAAUGGGCGGAAGCCUGAUGCAGCAACGCCGCGUGCGGGAUGACGGCCUUCGGGUUGUAAACCGCUUUCGCCUGUGACGAAGCGUGAGUGACGGUAAUGGGUAAAGAAGCACCGGCUAACUACGUG
rnacentral:rRNA from 1 species